UACGAAGGGUGCAAGCGUUAUCCGGAUUCACUGGGUUUAAAGGGUGCGUAGGCGGGUAAGUAAGUCCGUGGUGAAAUCUCUGAGCUUAACUCAGAAACUGCCGUGGAUACUAUUUGCCUUGAAUAUUGUGGAGGUGAGCGGAAUAUGUCAUGUAGCGGUGAAAUGCUUAGAUAUGACAUAGAACACCAAUUGCGAAGGCAGCUCACUACACAAUCAUUGACGCUGAGGCACGAAAGCGUGGGGAUCAAACAGG
rnacentral:rRNA from 1 species